UACGUAGGGUGCGAGCGUUGUCCGGAAUUAUUGGGCGUAAAGGGCUCGUAGGCGGUUUGUCGCGUCGGGAGUGAAAUCCACUGGCUUAACUGGUGGCUUGCUUCGAUACGGGCAGACUGGAGGUAUGCAGGGGAGAACGGAAUUCCUGGUGUAGCGGUGAAAUGCGCAGAUAUCAGGAGGAACACCGGUGGCGAAGGCGGGUCUCGUGGGCAAUAACUGACG
rnacentral:rRNA from 1 species